rnacentral:lncRNA from 1 species
GUUAGAUAUGGGGCCUGAGAGGAGAGACAGGUUAGAUAUGGGGCCUGAGAGGAGAGAGAGACGUUAGAUAUGGGGCCUGAGAGGAGAGACAGGUUAGAUAUGGGGCCUGAGAGGAGAGACAGGUUAGAUAUGGGGCCUGAGAGGAGAGACAGGUUAGAUAUGGGGCCUGAGAGGAGAGACAGGUUAGAUAUGGGGCCUGAGCGGAGAGACAGGUUAGAUAUGGGGCCUGAGAGGAGAGACAGGUUAGAUAUGGGGCCUGAGAGGAGAGACAGGUUAGAUAUGGGGCCUGAGAGGAGAGACAGGUUAGAUAUGGGGCCUGAGAGGAGAGACAGGUUAGAUAUGGGGCCUGAGAGGAGAGACAGGUUAGAUAUGGGGUCUGAGAGGAGAGACAGGUUAGAUAUGGGGCCUGAGAGGAGAGAGAGACGUUAGAUAUGGGGCCUGAGGUACGAGGUAAUAACAUGGCUAUAUACACAUGGUACCAGUACUGAGUCAAUGUGCUGAGGUAUGACGUAAUAACAUGGAUAUAUACACAUGGUACCAGUACUGAGGUACGAGGUAAUAACAUGGCUAUAUACACAUGGUACCAGUACUGAGGUA